rnacentral:tRNA from 1 species
GGCGGGGNAGCUCAGCUGGNUAGAGCAGCGGAAUCAUAAUCCGCGUGUCGGGGGUUCAAGUCCCUCUCCCGCUACCA